UACGUAGGGUGCAAGCGUUAAUCGGAAUUACUGGGCGUAAAGCGUGCGCAGGCGGUUAUGUAAGACAGAUGUGAAAUGCCCGGGCUUAACCUGGGAACUGCAUUUGUGACUGCAUGGCUAGAGUUUGGCAGAGGGGGGGUAGAAUUCCACGUGUAGCAGUGAAAUGCGUAGAUAUGUGGAGGAACACCGAUGGCGAAGGCAGCCCCCUGGGUCAAGGCUGACGCUCAUGCACGAAAGCGUGGGGAGCAAACAGG
rnacentral:rRNA from 1 species